GACGAACCGAGCGAACGUUAUUCGGAAUCACUGGGCUUAAAGGGCGCGUAGGCGGGCCGCCAAGUCAGGGGUGAAAGCCCCCAGCUCAACUGGGGAAGUGCCUUUGAUACUGGCGGUCUCGAGGGGGAUAGGGGCGUGCGGAACUUCCGGUGGAGCGGUGAAAUGCGCAGAUAUCAGGAGGAACACCGGUGGCGAAGGCGGAUCUCUGGGCCAUUACUGACGCUGAGGAGCGAAAGCCAGGGGAGCAAACGGG
rnacentral:rRNA from 1 species